UGAGACAAAGCUUCAAACAAAAGGCGAAGGGACCAACAAAAGGAUCGGUAGGGACCUUGGGCGAAAGGCAGUUAUUAAAGAACCAAAAUCUAAAACUUCCGUAACCGGAUCUCUUGGAAGGACCAAAUCUGAUACAUCAUCAAGAAUCAAGAAAUCACCUUCCACAUUUCAGAAGAGCAAAGCUGACAAGGACGAGGAGAGUCGAAAGAAAUUAGAACAAUCAUUAUUGCAACGUCAAAA
rnacentral:misc_RNA from 1 species